AUGAAGAAGGGAUUAAUACUUACAGGUCGGAGUCACCCCAAAGGCGUUUCAAUCGCGAUGCAAACGAAUCCACGGAUAUCUUGCUCAGCAGGUAAUUGUUGGACUGGCUUAUGGACUAUUUUCUAUAGCAGGGCAAUAGAGAUUUGUAGAAGUUUAGACAACAACAUGGUGAAAGUUGUUUGA